rnacentral:rRNA from 1 species
GACGAACGCUGGCGGCGUGCUUAACACAUGCAAGUCGAACGGAAAGGCCCCCUUGUGGGGUACUCGAGUGGCGAACGGGUGAGUAACACGUGAGUAACCUACCCUUGACUUUGGGAUAACUUCAGGAAACUGGGGCUAAUACCGGAUAGGAGCUCCUGCUGCAUGGUGGGGGUUGGAAAGUUUCGGCGGUUGGGGAUGGACUCGCGGCUUAUCAGCUUGUUGGUGGGGUAGUGGCUCACCAAGGCUUUGACGGGUAGCCGGCCUGAGAGGGUGACCGGCCACAUUGGGCCUGCGAUACGGCCCAGACUCCUACGGGAGGCAGCAGUGGGGAAUAUUGCACAAUGGGCGGAAGCCUGAUGCAGCAACGCCGCGUGCGGGAUGACGGCCUUCGGGUUGUAAACCGCUUUCGCCUGUGACGAAGCGUGAGUGACGGUAAUGGGUAAAGAAGCACCGGCUAACUACGUG